UUUAAAAAUACUCCCUAAAAUGCUUUCCUGAGAGAAUUUCCUGAAAGAAGAGAUAAUUUUAUAGUCUGAAGUUUUUUUUAUGUUUUGUAUUUGUCUAUAUAAAGAAAAUUUCUAAUUCUUUUCUCUAGCAAUGUUUGUAGAGUCACAGUUGUUGGAAGAUUUAUCCCGUCACCCUCAUGAAAGUUCAGUUAGUCAUAUGGAAGAUCUUAUUCUCUACUCUUUUUUCUGGAGCUUUUAUAACAAGUAAGGGGUUAGCAGAAAGGAAUCAUGACAAGAUGAGAAACCCUCUCAGUGCAUUUGGGAGCUAAUAUAUAAUUAAACUGAAUGAAAUGAGAAAAGAGUGUUUGUUUACCUGUUGAAAAACUGCACGCCUUAUGAAAAGUUAAGGCAAAAUAAUAUUUUAUGGAAAAAACGCUACCAAAGUACUAGAUCCAUUCUUUAGCCUUUUAAAUCGUUUUAAAAUCUGUGAUUUCAUUUGUAGUUGGGUGAAUGUCCAGAUUUAAGAUGUCAUAAGUAAUUUCGUGAUUCUAAAUAUGACUUUGCAACCUUAUUAUUGAUAACUUGGACUAUAACAUAGAAGGUUUAUCAAAUUUCAGAUCAAUAAGAGCUAGGGAAGAUGGCUAGCCUAAUAGAUGGCAAGUUUUGAGAGAGAGUGCUCUAAGAAUGAUGGGCAGAAAUUGACAAGCGGAAAUUUAGUAGGGCUAAAUGUAGAUGUGAAUUUAGAGUCAUCUUUAAGUUAGCAGACAUUUAUUGAAGACCUGUGCACUAGGCUUUGAGCGCUGAAGACAUAGUGAGAACAAAAUUAAUAUAUUAAGUAGGAAAGGCAGACAUUAAACGAAUCUCCGGAGAUAAUCUACCUAAAUUCACUUUAUGCUAUUUAUUGGCCGUGUGACUUCAGGCAAGUUGCUUUAGAUCUUUGUGUCUGUUUCCUCUUCUGUAAAGUGGGUAUUAUGAUGGUACCUACCUCAGAUUUUUGUGAGAAUUGAAUCAGAUGAUACAUGUAAAAUGCUUGGUGUAGUGCUUUGCCCAUAGUAAACACUUAAUAAAUAUUAGCUAUUUUUAUUGUUACCUAUUAGCACUUAACAUCUUUGUUUUAAGGAGGAAAACAGAGUGGUCAUGGGACCUAGUCUCAAUUUGCGAGGCCAAGAAAGCUCCCCUGAUACAGUCCCUACCUUGAAGAAGCUUGUACUUGAAUCUUUAAAAACAAAUUACAGUUAAGGUAUACAUACAGAUAGGUCCAGGGUACUUAUUACUAUGGGAAGAUAUAGGUGAGAUACCCAGGCCCUAACUUAAGGGGGCAGUUCUUACAGCAUUAUAUUAUGAGUGAUAGCAGUGCAUUUUUGGUAGUACAACUAAUUAGGGAAGUGACGUAUCAGUUAAUUUUGAUGGUGAAAGGUCAAGGGAUGAGGGGGAAGGACUGCUCAGAAAGAGAAAAUUCCAUGGGGACAUGAGAGACCAUGGUAUGUUUGGGGACAUGGAAUUCACUAUAACUAGAGUGAAAGAUGAGAUGGAUGAGAGUAAUUGCUAAGAAAUGAGAUUAAGAAGGACCUUGUUUCUGGAGUUCCCAUCGUGGCACAGUGGUUAACGAAUCUGACUAGGAACCAUGAGGUUGCGGGUUCGAUCCCUGGCCUUGCUCAGUGGGUUGGGGAUCUGGUGUUGCCGUGAGCUGUGGUGUAGGUCGCAGACGUGGCUCGGAUCCUGCAUUGCUGUGGCUCUGGUGUAGGCCGGUGGCUACAGCUCCGAUUAGACCCCCAGCCUGGGAACCUCCAUAUGCUGUGGGAGUGGCUCAAGAAAACGGAAAAA